rnacentral:lncRNA from 1 species
UUCGCAAUUGAAAAUUGCCCAUCUAAUCUUCUCUCUCUCGUCCACAUAUUUUUGAUUCAGCUAUUAAGUAAGAAAUGUAUAUCUUUUUGCCAAGGUACGUCUCAGAUUUCUGUAUGUUUUCAUCUCUUCCUCAAUAUCAAAUCUUUAUUUCAUAAACGCUGUUAGAAGUUAUUUCAUAAACACUGUUAGAAUAGCAUUCCAUAAAAUCAGAAAACCAUCCUUGGUUUUGCUUACAUGACUGUUUGGUGUACCAAAAUAGUCGAUAUUCUCCACAAUUUCUACUCCAAAAAAAAACCCUACAACACCUUCAUUUGAACACAAUGAUAUGUUUAGAAUCCAAGAGAUCAGCUUGUGCGUACAAAACAAACCACAAAACUAUCAGUUUUAGCCUUCACUAUUGCUAAUUUUGUCUUUUUUUUUUUUUUUGGCAGGGUACACAACAAGAGCCAUGUUGUAAAAUCAUUACAAAAGCAUCCGACAUCGUUCAGCGUAUGGGAUGAUACUGUGUAAUACCUCGUUUUGGUGGCAACUUCCUCAAAAUGAAAAGGACCAGAGAUGAAGGUAAUAUCUCCACCAACUGCUCAGCAAAAGAAACCGAGUCACUUAAAAUAUAGUUCAUUCUCUUAUUUGUAAUCAACACUAAGAAACAAAUACACCUUUUAAUUUCGAACACAACACGAAAAUAACUAAAAGAUCACACAAAUCACAAGACAACCACCAAAAAAAUUUUGAAAUAUAGCAAUUCCUAUCAAUUUUGGUAGCAAAAAGUAGAUAAUUGCUAGGUAGCUCAUACAUGAAUAUAGUGGUGCACAUGGAUACUUCACUUAAAAAAGUAAAACCAGUUCUUCAUUCAAUUUCCCCUCUAUUAAAGCCCCUUAGUCUAGCAUUCUCAGGUUCCUCUUUUUUACCCGAUUUACCAUCAUUGCUAUCCACAUAUCUGAUACCCAGCAAACAAUUAUUAUUCACAUGCCUAAAAUUUAAAAUUUUUAUAUAAUGGGUCUUAGUAGUGUAUAAAAUAAUGGUAGGGAGAUUUUUGCACUCUAAUUGUUUCAUUCAGUUUUCUUGUAAACUUGAAACUGCUCAUUGCUCGGUAGGUAGACACUGACUUAGCCUGUGAUUAUUGUCUAUAUUGAAGUAAUAGAUAAAUAAAGCAUUUGACUAAUAGAUAAAUAGUAUGACAAAUUCCACUCAGAGCCAAAUCACACGUAGUGCAAGACAUAUGUGUUGGUUAUAUUAAAAAAUAAGUACACAUUCAACAAUAAAAUCAGAAUGAUGGUUGCGAUAAUAAAUCUAUUUUAUUAAUUAAACAAAAUGAAAAGAACAAAUUUCUCAAAUAAUAAGAAUACAGUUGUUCAAUUUCAUUAGUUAAAAUUGAAAAACCUAAGAUGUCUAGCAGACGCAAGUCUCAAAUAUCAGUGAAACUAUGCAAGUAAAAUUAUUAAACCUAAACUCCAAGGGCUAGUUUGCAAUGAGGAUAAAAGUUGGGUGAUGGAACUCUAGCCGACUUAAUCGUUAUGUGGUGUUAAAACAACCUCCUGCUCUUCAAAAAGUCAUAAAAGUUUUAUUAAAGCAGACCACAAAACAUUCUUUGACAUAACAAUCUGAUGUCAAAGACUUGUAAAUUGGUUACUGAACUAUCAGUUUCCUGAAAUAUACAUUCCUAUUUAACUAAAAAAAAAGUAUGAAGCAAAAAAAUGAGGCAAUUGCAGCAAAAUUUUCAGUUUUCAUAUGGCAAUAACAUGAGUUGGCAACCUUCACACUGUUUCAGUAGGAAUCUCUUAAACAGUAUCAAUAAGCAACAUGACAGAACUAUUUAUCUAACUUACCAGGUAAUAUAUGAGGUUUAGAACUGGAUGGUUCAAAACAUCAAGGUCAGCAGCUUUGUCAAAUGCAUUAAAGCACAUCUAGACAAAAAAUAACAUUAGAGAUCAAAUUUUAUAAACUUUGGACAAAUAACCAAUGAUUAAUCAAUUAGAUAGUGAUCUAAAUCUAAACCAUAUAGCAGCUAAAGGUUCAACUAGAAUACAUUCAUUUUGUAGCAAAAGCCCUUAUAACACUAUAUGUAUCUAAAAGUUUCUAAGGUCUAAGAAAACAUGCUUAAAGCAUGUCAGUUUGAAACAUGUAGAUAGUAAAGCCAGAAAGUAAGGAAGAGAUCUACCAUAAUGCAUCUGACUAGGAAACAUAAGAAGCAAAUGGUGGUCACAUAACCAACCUGCCCAAGCCAAAAAUAAAUAACAAUUAAAUAUUGUCAAUAAAAGGAAAAUUUACUGGAAAAAAAACCACGACUACAGAGUAAAUAUGUACUUCUUGCAGCUUCUUACGCCGCCCUUUGGACUCUACAGGAAAGCGCUGCAACAUUAAGAAAAGCCUGCAAGGAAAUAUAUGAUUAUAUAGCUUUUCCAUGCAAUAUGCAUACAAAUCAUAUGAAAUGCAUCACAUUAAUUGCAAAAAGCAUACAGGUGAGUGGAAUUCAAUAUUUUAAAAGAAUAAAAAAAUUCAAAUACCAAGAAAGCAUUUCAUAAUUUUAAAAAGAUAAUAAAUGUAUCGAAAAUAAGGAAAUGCUAUUUCUGUUAUCACAAGAUCCCAAACCCCUUAAGCCACUUUAAUACGCAGUAUCUACAUUAUAUAUAUUGAAUUAGCUUGAGGACCAAGAUGUCCUGGACAUUAUGCUAAACCUGUAGAUCAGAAGAAAGACCUAUUAACAAAGAAGAUGAAGAGCUACAAAUAGAAGGCACAAUUUCGAAUUACAUAGGAAAGACAAUGAUAUGCCAGUUUCAGCAUGCAGCCUAAAAGUAAAACCAAAUACUCACACAAAACUUGACCUUAUGCCAUUAAAACAAUUAGAAACAGAACAACAAAUAGAACAUAAUUACCUUCCACCAUAUAGUAAAAACCCAAGGGCUGCAAACAAUGAUACACCUGCUCAUACACAUGUCACGUUAAAUAAUUUCAUUCAUUACUGAAAAUUUUUAACUACCAUGAGAUUAAUGUCUACAAAUCAUCUAAAAUUACUAAGGUUCCAUUUGCUAAAUGCUUCUCUUUUUUUCUUUUUCUUUUUCUUCUUUUUUUUUUUCAAAAAGUAAAUGAAUAGGAAAAGAAAAAAUAGCAAAAAAAAAUGUCUAUUUGAAAGAAUGUCUUGGAAAACGCUUGGAAACACUCUCAGCACAAAUUACCAUGUCUAUUUCCACUUGAGAUUUUUAAGCAAGUCUUGACUGGUUCUAAUAGAUUUGUGGUUCUUGAAACUGUAAAUUUGGUGGAAGAUCAAAUUACAGAUAGUCGAAACAGAGAGAUCUGAACAUAUUGAGAUUGGGAAAAUUGCCCACGGGGAAGCUGAGUCUAUAGAUCUUGUUGAUAUGGGUGUUUCUCCUAAGAAACCUAGAGCUGCAAUUGCUGGAGCAGCUGACUUAGUAAAAAGCUUGAAGAGUAAAAGAAAUUUGCAAAUUUCAAAGGGGAAAUAAGAUAAUAGUAGCUGCCUAUGGAAGUUUACCAGCUAGCUCUAAAGCAUGAAUUGUUUUGUGUGGAAUGUCAGAGGGCUUAAUAAACCUCUGAAGCAACAUGCAGUGUAUAAUAGAAUUAAAGAUAACAGGGCUAGGGUUGUUUGUUUGAUUGAAACUAGAGUAAAGCAUAAUCAGAGGAGGGCCAUUCUUGAAAAAUGGUUCAAUGGUUGGAAGUCUUUUCACAAUUAUGUUGAAGCUGAUAAUGGGAGGAUCUGGGUUCUAUGGAAAGACUAUCUUCAAUUGUCUUUGGUGUGUACUACUGAUCAAAGCAUCACAGCCAGCUUUAGUGCAGAUAAUUACCUUCUUUUCUUGACUGCCAUUUAUGGAAGGAAUAUGGGUAGUGAGAGGAAAAGGCUUUGGAAGCAUUUGCAAGGAUUGCAUCAACUUGUGGCAGAUCAUUCAUGGAUCCUUGUUGGCGACUUUAAUGUCAUAGCAAGCUCUUUUGAAAGCUCUGAUUUCAGGGUACCUCUAACCUGACUCUGGUUGUUUUGGUCCCAAAGAAGCAGAAUGCUAGCAGCAUUAAGGAUUACAGACCAAUUUCGUGUUGCAUUGUUUUUUAUAAAUGCAUCACCAAGGUAUUGGGUAUGAGGCUCACCAAAUUUCUUCCUAGUAGCAUUACUAGAAACCAAAGUGCUUUUGUUCUAGGGAGGAGCAUUAGUGACAAUAUUCUACUGGCCCAGAAGCUUGUUAGGGGUUAUAAUAGAUGCACCUUGUCACCUAGAUGUACUUUGAAAAUUGAUCUCCAAAAAGCCUUUUGACUCUCUUAAUUGGCAGUUUAUUCUUGCUGCUUUGGCUACUUUGGGAUUCCCUAGUCAAUUUGUUAGUUCAAUAGAGAAGUGCAUCACUAAGGCUCGAUUUUCAAUUUCAGUAAAUGGGGGUUUGAUUGGCAAAAUUAGAGGUGCUAGGGGAGUAGGACAAAGGGAUCCACUUUCCCCUUACCCUUUUGUGAUUGCCAUGCAUGUUCUGUCAAAAUUACUUGAUGUUGCUGCAUUUUCUGGGUUGUUUAGCUACCAUUCAAAAUGCCAUAAGCUUAGGUUGACUCAUUUAAGCUUUCCUGAUGACUUAUUAAUUUUCUCUAAAGGAAAUUUGGAGACAGUAGUGGGAAUACAAUGUGUUUUGCAGCAGUUUUAUUUCUUCUCAGGCGUAUAAUUAAAUCCUGCCAAGAGUGAGAUUUUUUUCUUCAGGAAUCUCAGAAGAGGAUCUUCAACAUAUCUGCAGUCUUACUGGGUUUAAAAGAGGUCCUGGAAAAUUGACAGUGGCCGAUUGCUCUCCAUUGAUUGAGAAGAUAAAGGAUAGGAUUAAAGGAUGGACAACUAGACAUCUUUCUUAUGCUGCAAGAAUUUCAUUCAGUCUGUUUUAAUCAACAUGCAAAAUUUUUGGUGUAGACAUUUUAUUUUCCCAAAAGGUGUUCUUCAAGCUAUUAAUCUUUGCCUCAAAUUUUUCUGGAAAGGGCAAAAUAUGGAUGCUAAAGGUGCAAGAGUGGGAUGGUCUACAACUUGCAAACCUAAAUCAGAGGGAGGGUUAGGUUUGAAGGAGCUUGAUAGUCAGAAUCAAGCUUGCAUUAUGCAAAACUUGUGGUCUAUUUUGAUUCAAGCAGGACCUCUUUGGGUUGCUUGGAUCCAAGCUUAUGUUCUUAGAGGUAGGGAUUUGUUGCAGGUUUCUCCUUUUCAGACUAGUAGUUGGAGCUAGAGGAAACUUCUCAAAUUGAGGUGUUGGAUCGGGUUGAUUAGAGAUCCUCAAAUGGGUGAACUCAUUGUCCCAAGACAAAAAUAUUCUGUUAGUUAAGUAUGGAAUGGAAGUAGAGGUAAAGUAGCCAAGGUAAAUAGGUGUAAGCUGCUGUGGUUCCCUUAUCAUAUUCCAAAACAUUCAAUGAUUGGUUGGAUGGCAAUGCUUAAUCGACUACCUACGAAGGAUAGGCUAUUGGCUUGGGGAUUGCAAGUUGAUGGCUGUUGCUGUUUUUUUCAUAGUGAGAUGGAGACUAGAAACCAUUUAUUUUUUGAAUGCAACUAUUCUAAGACUGUUUGGAAAGAGGUGUUAAGUCUUUGCUCAUUGCAAAGAUCCCCUAGACAGUGGAAUUUUGUGUUACAAUGGCCAGUACUGAAAUUAACAGGAAAAGCUUUGAUUUCAAUUGUAUUGUGGUUGGCAUGGGGAGCUUUCUUUUACUGGAUCUGGAGAGAACGAAACUGCAGAAUUUUUGGUAACACUCGUUUGUCUGAGAAAGUAAUCUUGGAAAAGAUUAAAGAUGCAGUUCUUAUGAGUUUAUCGGGUACUAGAAUUAGAUCUGAUGAAAUUGUAAAUAAUAGAAUUUGUAUAGCUUGGGGUAUAGAGUGAUUUUACUGUAUAGCUUUUGUUUGCAUUGGAAUUUCCUAUGUUGUUUUGUUGUAGCAGAUUUUCUGCUUCUGGAUAAAUAAUAUUUACAGAUUUAUAAAUAAUAAUAAUAAGCAAAAAUAAAAUUUGAAUAGAAUACAAAAAGCAAAGCAUUUUACAGAACAGAACCUAAGUGAUCAUACAUGAUAAAUCUAGAAAGCACCCAAAGUUAAUCAACAGUUAACUAUUAUGAACCUAUUAAGGAUACAGCACAUAAUUACCUGCAAAGAACACCUUUGAGAGGACGACCAAAACUGGGAUAUAUUUCCACCAUAAUAUCAGCCACAUUCCAAUCUGAAAUCAAUUCCGCCAGGCCCGCAUCAGAAAGAGGAACUUUACUAACACCUUCUAAAAGUAACAGUUCCAAAGUAAAACAAGUAUGCAACAAUACUUACAAGGUUCCUAGAAUGUCUACCCUGCUUGGAUGACAUAAUCGAUACUGUGGUUUCGUAUUUACUACUAAAAUCUAGAACAAGUUCCAUUAACAUCCUUGUCACCGUUGUAGCCAAAGUAAUAUUGUACUCUAACCUAUUCGCUUGAUUUUAUGAUUACCCUUAUCCAACCAACACUUAUCUUAUAAAAAACUGUAGCUUAUAAGCAUUGUUCCAGCAGAAGAAAUCAUGAAAAGCAUGAAGGAAAAAUAAGCUACUGCAAACAGUGUGCAGAAGGUCAGAGCGCCAUAGAUAAUAACAUAGUUUUGAUUUGAGCAGUGAAGUAGGAAAACAUAAGGUAUUUAGUAUAAUGUAAAAAGGAGAAGUUCCAAACUUCAAAUCACUUCUUAUCUAUGUAGCCCUCUCGAAAUUUAUCUUCUCCCUAGAAGUUGACAUGUGCCUUUUGCCUUGAAUCCCAAAGCCCGAGCUUUAACUCAUAGAUGUAACAGAGUUCGUUGUUUUCAACUAAUGACACCGCAUAUUGGACCUUUGAUUAUUUCCUAAUUCAAUCCUCAUACAAUUAGCACUAUGUUUGGAUUGCAUUAAAACUAGGGAAAGUAAAGGAAAUGAAAGGAAAGUAACAUCCUUUCCUUUGUUUGGAUAGUUUCGCCUAUUUGAGCAAAGGAGUUGUUUAUCCCUUGCUUUCCCUUGGUUUACUUAGUUUUUAAUUACCCCAAUUCAGGGGGGAAAGCUAGGGAAAGGAAAGUGAGGUUACUUUUAAGAUGUGAAAUUACAUUUUUAUCCUAUUAAAUUUUACAUGAGUUAUUUUAUAAAAGGACAUAAUUGAAAAAAAAUCAUUAUAAUCAAUCAUUUCCUUUACUUUCCAUAGUUUAAGAAAACAAAGAUAGUAAAUUUUACUUUACUAAUUCUAUCUAUCCAAACAACAUAAACAGACAUAAUAUCCUUUCUUUAACCCUCCUUUCUUUUCCUUUCCUUUAUAAUUAUUUAUCCAAACAUAGGGUAAAAGAAUUAAAACAGAAAACUAGCCUAACAAAAAACUUUUCAUGUAGGACAGAACCUUCAGAUACUCCCUCCAAGAAAAACAAAGAUCAUUUAUGAACAAUAUGCUUAUUGAUGUCAUUCCAUUUACACUAUUUACAAAGUCUAAAAGGGUAUCAAUCUCUGUCAAAAUUCGGCACCCUUCUCCCAAGUAAACAUUCAUAAUUUGCAAGAAAUUGGCCAAAUAAGUUAACUGGGGAUACAAUAAAAUAGCAAUGUGUUAUAAAAUAUAACUAGCUUCCAAAUAGAAAGAAUCCAACUUCCAAUUCUCUUUUUGGUCGCACUUAUACCAAAAUAAUAAAACAUAAAUUCACCUGGAUAGUAUAAACCACUGCAUUAAUAGUAAAGAAACUCGGCCUCAGUCCAUCAGUCGAAACAGCACGUGCCUGUUUUAGGAUAGGCUGAGUUAAGAUGAAGUGAAGCAAAAUAAGAAACACCAGGACAGGGAGACAAACUGGCAAAGCUCAAGUAACCUAACCUGGUAGUAGAUCUCAGCCCAAAAUAAGACCAAAAGAGCAUAUGUGGUGAAGAAAGCUAGACUUGGCAUGUCAAGCAAGAUGUGUUGAACAAUCUAAGAAAAAUGGAACACCGGGCAACAAACCAUAAACAAUUCAUGUUCAACUAUAAAUCAAAAAGAAACGUCAAACAUGUACAGUUUAUUGCAAACCUCUGGAUGUAAGUUCUGCACGUCCCGUCUGAAAACAAAUACAAGCCCACGAACUGCAAUAUAAUUGAAAGCAAAGUAAAUACAGAAACCAAAACAAGGCCCACAAAAAAUUGUUAAAAAUAGAAAUUCUCUUCUUUCAAAAAAAAAAAGAAGAAGAAGAAAUUCUCAGAUACAAACCCCCAUUCACCAGAAAAUUCAGAAAAUGGAAGACCUUCUGUGUGGUCCAACCAUACUCAGGAACCCUCAAUUGUAUCCGAAUCAAUUGGACCUAAAAACAUCAACAAUUAAACGAGUUUAUGAACAAAGCUAGUCAUUAAUAAGUAUCAUUCUUGACAACAACAUCAUAUCAGGUUCUUAAUUGCAGUUAGUUCUUUUAGUUUCUCUUAUUGGAACCUUCCUUCUGACAUUAAAAGGAAGAAGCAUCAAAUAAGGAAAACCUUUUUUGUUUCAAAUUGAAAAAGCUAGUCAUCAAUUUUCCUAGACAAACAAGAAAUCAAACGGAAAGCUAAACCCUAACCACUAACAAACAAAUUAAAGAAAAACAGUAAAAUCUAAAGUAUUGAUGAAAAAGGAAGGAGAUGCAUACGAGAGCAACGGCGGCGACGAGACCGUAAAGUGCGGCGAGGAUGUGAAAAAUCCGAUCCUGCCAGAGUGUAGAUUCGUUAAUGUCAUGCCACCAAUUCGAUGCAUCUUUCAGCUUCAAAGCUAUCACCGCCUCAUCCACACCGUAACCCUCCAUCUCUCUCUAAUCUUCUUCGUCUUCUCUUUUCUCCUUUUUCUUUUUUCUAAUAUUAAUGUUAUUAAUUUGAUUGAUUUGAUGUCUGUUCUUUUAUGUGAAAAAACAAGAUUUGAGGAUCAAAAUCAAAAUCCUAAAAGAAAAAAAAGAAAAAAAGAGUUUUAAUCAACUUUGAUUUUAUGAUUUCUGUAAUUUUGUUUUUCUUUUUUCCUUAGAAAUUAUUAUGGAGCAAAGCAAACAAGGCCGACCAAAGGGAGAGGCGUGGAAGAGGAACGAAGGGGAUGAUUUUUUUAUUAAUUUCUUUUUUUGUGGAAGCUACCGGCAAUUGCCGGUAAUCAGUUCGAGAAAUGACGGGAUAUGUAUGGAUGGGAUGAUCUUACGUGUCCU